UCUGCUUUGUAUUUACAAGGAGACGGAGAUCUACGAGAGUCCCUAGAAAAAGAGAGAGGCGGAGGAGCAGUGUAGCGAACACUUUGAGAAUCCAUCACUUGGGCGAGGCGCUGAAUUGCGGCUUUCGCAGAAACAUUCUGAGUCCUUUUGACGCUUGGGAUUCCGGUGAGGGUGAGGGAGGACGAACGAGAAUGCCCGUUACGUGACUGAAACGGCCCAUGUGGAUCCUCCUCUUGGUGACGUAUCUCAACUUGAUUACGGAGGAACGGUUGGGGAGGGCAAGGCCUACGAUAGGGGCGUGCGCGCGGGUGCCUUGGCCAUGACCGUUUUGGUUACCAAGUUGGCUCAACACAACCGCCAAUACACCCUCCUCCCCAACGCCCACCGUGAGCCUCUGCCUCCUCCCCCGGCGCGUUAGCUCUCUUUUCUGUCCUCGGCAUCCCAGAGAAUUGUACAAUGCCAGAUUAGGCAACUGGUGGACGGAGAACGUGAUCCUGUGAGGUAUCCACUGCAGCAGGAGGCAUAAAUUGCCACAUUGCAACUCCUGGAUAACUGAUAAAAGGAACCAGCUUGUUGCCGUGGGCUUGGCCUUGUGCCGCAAAUGCUGCGGCCGGGAUUGCAGCAGGGGGAGGCAUGAAACUAGCUUUUACAUCGUGGUGGGGAUCAGGAUCGGACAUUUGUUCCAGAUUCAAUCAAUUUUGGAGCUGAAAGGGUUGGCAAAAAGGAUCAAAAGCGAAAGGCACCUGGAGCUCCAUCAGCUCAUAAAAGACCUAGAAAACUAAAGGCCUCAGAUCUUUAGUUCCUCAGGUGCAAACCAGGAAAGGUGUUUCGAUUUGUGGAAUUCUUUCAAUCAAAAGUAUGAAUGUUCUGGAAAGCGGUUGGGAACUCGAACACCUUGAAAUUCUGAUUGUGGUGUAUUUAGUCUAACUCUAGUUCGAUUUACUUGGGUCUGCAGUUUUAGGUUAAUGCCACACUUGAUAUUCGAUGUAAAAAGAAAACUGAGAUCCAUGGAAUGAGGCGAAUCUCCCAUUUAACCAUGUCCUGAGAAGCUUUACUUUAUAUCUUGGGCUGUUAAUGCUGUUAAGGAUACCAAGGCUUCUUGUUUGGAUAUGCAUGUAUAUAAGCUUGGAUUUGGAAUUCCAGCUAAAUGAUGCUUCAAGUGUUCCUAAUACACCCUUGGAUGCAAGAGGAUCUUCUGGGGCUAGCAACCUUUGUUAUGGAUUUUAUGUCAUACUUUGAUUUACAAUAGAAAUUUGAAUUGUAAAUUUUUGAACUAUAAACUGUUAUUUUUGUUAUUGGAAAUAUAAUUUCUACGUCCACAUUA